UGAUAGCGUUGAAGCGUGAGGUUGCUACCCGCAUGACGAGGUAGGUUUUUACGCAGAGCGAAUGUCAAGUUAUGAAAACUGGCGACAA
rnacentral:ncRNA from 1 species